rnacentral:tRNA from 1 species
GUAUUUUUAAACUUUUAUUAAU